rnacentral:rRNA from 1 species
GCUAGUUGGUGAGGUAACGGCUCACCAAGGCCACGAUCCGUAGCUGGUCUGAGAGGAUGAUCAGCCACAUCGGGACUGAGACACGGCCCGAACUCCUACGGGAGGCAGCAGUGGGGAAUAUUGGACAAUGGGGGCAACCCUGAUCCAGCCAUGCCGCGUGUGUGAAGAAGGCCCUCGGGUUGUAAAGCACUUUCAGCGAGGAAGAACGCCUAGCGGUUAAUACCCGCUAGGAAAGACAUCACUCGCAGAAGAAGCACCGGCUAACUCCGUGCCAGCAGCCGCGGUAAUACGGAGGGUGCAAGCGUUAAUCGGAAUUACUGGGCGUAAAGCGCGCGUAGGUGGCUUGAUAAGCCGGUUGUGAAAGCCCCGGGCUCAACCUGGGAACGGCAUCCGGAAACUGUCAAGCUAGAGUGCAGGAGAGGAAAGGUAGAAUUUCCC